rnacentral:rRNA from 1 species
CCUACGGGAGGCAGCAGUGGGGAAUUUUGGACAAUGGGCGAAAGCCUGAUCCAGCCAUGCCGCGUGCAGGAUGAAGGCCUUCGGGUUGUAAACUGCUUUUGUACGGAACGAAACGGUCCUUUCUAAUAAAGGGGGCUAAUGACGGUACCGUAAGAAUAAGCACCGGCUAACUACGUGCCAGCAGCCGCGGUAAUACGUAGGGUGCGAGCGUUAAUCGGAAUUACUGGGCGUAAAGCGUGCGCAGGCGGUUAUGUAAGACAGUUGUGGAAUCCCCGGGCUCAACCUGGGAACUGCAUCUGUGACUGCAUAGCUAGAGUACGGUAGAGGGGGAUGGAAUUCCGCGUGUAGCAGUGAAAUGCGUAGAUAUGCGGAGGAACACCGAUGGCGAAGGCAAUCCCCUGGACCUGUACUGACGCUCAUGCACGAAAGCGUGGGGAGCAAACAGGAUUAGAUACCCUGGUAGUCCACGCCCUAAACGAUGUCAACUGGUUGUUGGGUCUUCACUGACUCAGUAACGAAGCUAACGCGUGAAGUUGACCGCCUGGGGAGUACGGCCGCAAGGUUGAAACUCAAAUGAAUUGACGG